UCAUUUCGCUGCCCUACGCAUCUGUACCAGCAGUGGUCAAUUUUCAAUGUCAGUCACACAUCAGUCAGCGCAGAGGUUAAUUUAGUAAAAGUGAAAAAAGUGAAAAUUGUGCAGUGAAGUGAGCGUAGUGAAGUGAAGUGAGUGUAGUGAUGUGCAGUGUAAAGAUGUGCAGUGUAGUGAUGUGCAGUGUAGUGAUUAAACAAUUAAAAGUAUCCCAACAGCCAGGCGUCAAAGUGUUUUAUAGUGAAAAGUGUAAAAGCUGCUAGUGCGGGUGCGGACCAUGUGCCGAAUAUGCAAAAGUGUGUGUGCCAACAGAUCACUGAAAAUGUGUGCUAAAUCUAAUAUAUUAAUAAUGAGCAUAUUCCAUUUUUUUCUUGUGCAAAACGCAGCUAAAAUCAAACGGCACAUGGUUCCGUUAUGUCUGUAGAUGCCUCAGAUGUGUUCGUUUAUCAUAUAUGCGGUGUUUGUGUGUGUAAGUGAUAGAACGCAAAAGCAGUAGCAAAACGCGAUCCAAGCCCAAAGAGCGGAGCAGAGGAGGAGGAGCAAUGCUCUCGUUGUCAAAGUCACGAAUAUGUGAGGUGAUGCUUUCCAAUUGCCCAAAGAUGUUCGCUCUCCUGGUUGCUAUGUGCACAACUACUUCAAUAAAAGAUGCCUGUGUCGUGGGAGUGCGCCCUGUGAUGCCUCACCUUAUAAGUAUCCAUCCCAAACUUGUGCUCUUAUUGUAAAUGGCACUAGGCAAAUGUUCUGCUGGAAGAAAAAUGAACGGUACAAGUUCGCAAGGGCAUAAGUCACGACAAUGUGAGGUGAUGCUAUCCAAUUGCCCAAAGAUGUUACGCUCUCGUUAGCUGUGUGCACAACCACACUUCAACAAAAUGUGCGACUGUUGUGGGAGUGCUCCCUAUGAUGCCUCACCUUACAAUUAUUCAUCCCAAACUUGUGCUCUUAUUGGAAAUGGCACUAGGAAAAUGUUCUGCUGGAAGAAAAAUGAACGGUACACGUUCGCUGGGGAAUAAGAAAAGAAGUGCCCAAGAAGUUUAUGCUGGAAAAUGCAAGACUUGCGGAAAUCCAGCAAAUCCAGGAUCCAGCGGAAAAAUGUUUGCAGAAAUCUAAAAGAAUAUUCUGCAGUCUUCAAUUAACAGAUUAAUUUCAUCGGGAAAAUCCAGCCAGCAAAGUGGAAACCCAAGUUAAAUGAAUGGAUUUUGGUGCUACAGAAUUAAGAGCUUGCUGGGCUGGAACUGGCUGGACUGAAGAGAGGCCUACGAAUGCGCUAUAGCUGAGGGGGCCUAAAGGGUGCCACGGGAAGAAAGAAAACCAGAUGGAGCCUGAUUGAAGUUCAGCUAAAACAGAUGGAAGUCGUUCCAAAAACUAAGGCUAUUUAGCAGAGAAGCAAAGCAGAUUGAAAGACCGUCUGCCACUUCUGCAAAUGCCAUACAACCAGGAUCGGAACGAGGAGAUGGUCCAGGAUGCAUAUAGCUGCACCGUUGAGCGGCACUUCGAGGACGCUCAGUAUCUGAAAAUUAGCUGCCGUGUGCAGCAGCCGAGCCUUGGGUCCACUGACUACAGACGUAAUUUAAUUUUCAUGGUACCGACUGUCCCGAAACAUCUGCGGCGUCAAUGGAACCUCAAAGUGCCCUUCGAUGCGGUAGUCUAACCCAAAGAGCUGACAGCAAAACCAUGCAAAUAAAUUCCACAAAGUGCCACAGCUAGAGAUCGAAAUAAAAGAAAUCCAUAGAAACAAAUAGUGAAGCAAUCAAUUGUUGCAAGUUCUUUACCCAAAAUGCCUGAAAAUACACGUACUUCAGCGGUGUGGAUGGCCAUAAUGGCCGCCUGCAUAACUAGUCUCCUGAUCCAAUUUCAAUUUCAUUGCCAGCCACCUAAUAGAAGCCGCUGUCUGGCCCAUAAAUUGGAGAACAAAUUUCGAGAGUACCAGGAGCGAGUGUUUCGUGAUGCGAAAAAU